ACAGGUGUGGCCAAGUGAUGAAGGCGAUGGACUAGAAAUCCAUUGGGGUUUCCCCGCGCAGGUUCGAAUUCUGCCAACUACG
rnacentral:tRNA from 1 species